AGGAAAAAAACACCUAAAUCUUGCAUGGCCUGAGGAGGUCUCCGGAGAGUGGAUUGACUUGGGGCUGUGCCGGGACAGAGAAAGGAAGAUUUCAGGAUGUUUGGAGAGGAGUGAACAACUACAGCAAUUAGAGAGAGAGGCUGAUAAAGAGAAGAGGUGUUUGUGAGUGAUUCUAGCAUGCAAGGAUGGUUUGUGAUCAGCCAACACAUCAUAUCAGGCAGGCAUAUCAGUUCCAGCUGUGAGACAGUGAGCUGGAAGACAAACGUGUUGAUGGGCAAAUUCUCUCGCUCUAUCUGUCUUUAUAUAGCAAGGUGAUUCCAUUAAAGCGAGCACACUUGCAUCCAUCAAAAUGGCACAAACAUACAUACAAGAUUGUUUAAUAUUUUGAU